rnacentral:rRNA from 1 species
GAUGAACGCUGACCGAAUGCUUAACACAUGCAAGUCUUUGGUGAAGCUGUGCUUGCACCGCCUAGCCAAGGCGGACGGGUGAGUAACGCGUAAGGAACUUGCCCUGCAGUCAGGGAUAACAGACGGAAACGACUGAUAAGACCUGGUAAAGUCAGGCGGACUCAUGUCCAGCCUGAUGAAAAGAGAUGCUGCAGGAGAGCCUUGCGUCCUAUUAGCUUGUUGGUGGGGUAACGGCCCACCAAGGCAAUGAUAGGUAGCCGGCCUGAGCGGGUGGACGGCCACAAGGGGACUGAGAUACGGCCCUUACUACUACGGGAGGCAGGAGUGGGGAAUAGUGGACCAUGGGGGCAACCCUGAUCCAGCAAUUCUGUGUGCACGAUGAAGGUUUUCGGAUUGUAAAGUGCUUUCAGCAGGGAAGAAAAAAAUGACGGUACCUGCAGAAGAAGCGACGGCUAACUACGUG